rnacentral:lncRNA from 1 species
UCGGCCGCCGAAGGUGCCGCCGAAAGUGCCUUGCCCAGCCUUUUCUUGAGUGUUUUCUAUGCAUGUUUAAGUGAUGCUUUAGGGGGUUUUUGGGUAGUUGUUUAUGAGUUGUUUAGAGUAUGUUUGGCACCUCACUGGAGUCCACCUGUGUAGGAUCGGACCCGAGGAACCGAGGUGUUUAGCAGUGUUAGCUGCUUCAGAGUUAGUCCAGAGCUAGCCAGAGGUGAGUGGAACUAACCCUUAUGUUUUAAAUCAAAUGUUUUCAGCAUGUUCAAGC